rnacentral:lncRNA from 1 species
GCGGCGGCGGUGCGGCUCCGGCCGGAGCCACGUGGCUCGGGUGGGCGGGCGCAGGAGCUCCAGGGGAAGCCGAGCGAGUUGACAGAUGUGUGAGAGCAAGUAUCUGGUCGGCCUCACCUUUUGUGUCUGCUACCUGGCUUCUUACCUCACGAACAAGUACGUCCUGUCUGUCUUGAAAUUUACCUACCCUACAUUAUUCCAAGGGUAAGUUUCUUUUCUGCUUUUUGUAUACAUUUAUAGGAUAUGUCCAACCAGCAUCAUUAAAAGUUCUUUAAAACACUUUCAACAACUGCAUAGA